UUUGGUGAUGAUAGCGAAGGGGGAAUACCUGUUCCCAUUCCGAACACAGAAGUUAAGUCCUUUAGCGCUGAUGGUACUGCAUGGGCAACUUUGUGGGAGAGUAGGACGUUGCCGAGC
rnacentral:rRNA from 1 species